UUCUGGACACCUGCCUGCACCUGUAAAGUCACAACAAGGAAGCCUAAAACUCAAAUGAACAGAAUAAAGUGGUGUCCAGCAAAACAUUAGAACACACCUCCAACCAAGGCACAACCAGCAAUUAUGCCGGACGGAAAAAGAGAGGACUAACAAGAAAAGAUGGAGACUAAACUUCUCUGCCUGAGGGGUGUGUGAGAAGAACACACAUCAGUUUUGGCUCACUAGAUGACUGAGGGCACAAUCCCCACAGUCUCAACACUGAAGUUCAGGACUUGUCUGUGUUUCAACUCCUGUGGACUGUUUACUGCCAGAGCUGUGGAGUGUGACAAUGGUGUUUGUGUCCAAUAUAUCAAACGCCAUUAUCACACUAAAUAGCUACUGUUAGAUAAGCCAUCAGGUCAGCAAAGGAAAAGAGCUUUAAGCAAUAAAUAUUCUGGCUGUGAGGAGGGAAUAAGUGAAGUUUUUUCUCAUAUGUCAUAAGGACUGUUCUUUUAUAAGCAAUGCUAAAAUAAUGUACAAUAAAUACUCUGCUGUACAUAAUUCCAGUUGUAAAAUUCCUUUAAGUACACAUUGUAAUGAACUUAAUACUGUCCAUUUGCUCUUACCGAGUCAUGCUUAUAUUCAUGGACUGUAAUGUUUUUAUUUAGCAAUACAAGUGGCAGUACAUUCUUCUCUUAUUUAUAUUUCUGUUACAUUAUAACUGGUAACCUGCAAUAUCUAUUUAAGCAGUGUUGUGAGUAUUUCAUGCAUUUAGUUAACAUGUUUUAGUCUGGAGCAUAUUCUUCCAUGAUAUCAUUGUGGCACUGAAUUUUGAUCAUUGUGGCACUGAAUUUUGACCUCUCUCUCUCUCUUCCUCCUCCUCCCCCUCUUCCUCUCCCUUUUCCUUUUCCUCUUCCUCUCCGCAGUAGACCAAAAGUCAAUUUAAGCUAUGCAACUUCAUCUAGGUCAAUUGAAGAAACCUGGAUCCCCGUCCUGCAGCCCUUAUAGUGUUUGGGCUUGUGGGUCUCAUGUAAAUCAAUGAAAGUCGUGGGUGCUUAAUAUCUUUCAAAAUGUUGGGUCGGCAUGUGAGCCCCAUACUUGUGUUGUAUAGUCCCCACACAUAUUCCUGUUGAACCUAACUUGGGAAAGACAGGGCUACCUCACAUAACUAAAGAUGUCACGAUCAGGCCCUUAUUUAUGUGCCUAUUUGUAAGUACCCAAGUUAGAAACAUUGGGCUUUAUGCACCUAUGUUUGAACAUUUGGCCCUAAGUAAAACCAAUGCAGGAAAGAGCAGAUAGUGAUAAUCACUGCUUCUGUAUUGUAGCAUUGGAUUAGUAAGUGGUGACCUAAGUAGAACAAUUACCUUUCAUUCAUAGCACCUAUAUGGUUCUCCUUAUUAGGAGAUGGAAAACUUUGUAUCUAACACUUGACUUACCUUUAUUUAAACAUGACAUAAAUCUGCCACUGCAGCUGCACUACACAUCCUUGAUCAAAGACAGCUUCUCUUAAGAACUGGCUAUGCUCCCAUGUUGGAUAAGUAUGAAAAAUAAAUUGUGCUGCUUGUA